CAGCUGCUGCCGCAAGGGUCGGAGAGCCCUCUUGGACCGUCGGAAGGUUGAAAGUUGCUUAACGGGUAAGCUUCAUACCCGUUAACCCAAAAUCCGGUUACCCGGGUCCAACAAAAGAAAAAAGAAGAAAAAAAAAGAAAAGAAAAAAAAAGAGAAAAGUCCCCUGCACGUGCCGCAUGUGCGUGCAAAAAAAAAAAGAAAGAAAAUAAAGGAAAAAGCCUUACCUCUGUAAUUGUUCAUCUUCAACCUUCACCCGCGCCGUGAACCGCGCCGCUGCCGUUGCCGACCGUGUCAUCACCGCACCGUAGCUGCCCAAUCGUCGCCCACCCGGCGAGCAGCGCCACUGCCGUUGCCGACCGCGUCAUCACUGCACAGCAGCUGCCCAAUCGCCGCCCACCCGACGAGUAGCGCCGCCGCACCGGCCAGCCAUCCCCUCCGCCCCUCCGUCGCUGCAGCGCCGUCAAGCCUUGCGCCUCCUCCGUGGCCAACCGUAGCGCCGCCUCCGCCAGGCCCCGCCUUAUCCGAGCCCUCCGCCGAGCUUUUCCUCCGAACGCCGCCUUCCCCGGGCAGACCGCCCGCAACGCUUCUUCGUGUCCUCCGAGCA
rnacentral:lncRNA from 1 species